rnacentral:lncRNA from 1 species
UGUUCGAUUUUUGAAACCUGAAGAUGGCGACAGGCCGAAAACGUUGGUCCAAGUAUUUGAAUGAAGACUGAAAGUGGGUUUCCCCAUGCUGCAGGGUGUGCUAGUUUUAACAUAUAUAGAUGUUUUUACAAAAAAUUUUAAAAGGUGCUGUUUUUAAAGUUGCCUCAGGCACCACAAUUAUUUGGCCUGGUCCUGUUGUUAGUGAUUAUUUGAUUUUGCAUGUAGGCAUUCUGUAUAAAUGCUAUUGGCAAAGUGGGAAACUAAAGCAUUUCAUUGAAUCCUAAAACCUCAAGACAAUGUAUAAAAUAAAUUCAUUUGCACAUAUUUUCUAAGUAUUCUACAGAUUACCAAGUUUGUUUUAGACAGCAUUUGAAACUACAGAACUGUAGCAAAGAAGAUACUUCACCACUGUUGGCUGAUUGUUAGCUGUUAAUUGUCAAACGUUUUAAUCUAUCCACUCCAGCAUUACACAUCUGUAUAUGUACUAAAGUACAUAUUUGGUACAUUUUAUGCUAUAGAAGUAUGAAAGUACAUGUUUCAUGUAAAGUAGUCAUUUUUGAUACUUUUAUAAAGAAAAAAUUAGGAAGAUACAUGCAAUAUUUUGGUCAUCAUCAUGGAUAUUCAAGAUGAGGUCUAUCAGUUUGGUACAACACGGGGUGUUAAAACAACUCUAUGGCAGAUUGCAGUUUUUUGUGUGAAGAAGCCUUUAUUGACAUUGAAAAACAUCCUGAUGGAUAAACAGAUCUCAGUCAAGUCAGCUGCAACACAACAAUCCACAAAAACUGUCAAAGAUUUGAUAAGUGCAUGUUUAAGGGCAGACCUACAUGUGAGGCAUUUGCAAAAUACUGAACAAGCAAACAAGCCAUUUUUAUAUAAUGUAUCAGCCUUUUUCAUGUAAAAUUGAUGUGAUUUGAAAAGAACAUUAACAUACUGAUCUAAAUUAUGUUUUAUAUUUAUAAUAUUUAUAAUCAAUACAAAUUAUAUUAUGCUAUAAAGUAUCAUGUUUGGCAUUUGUGAUUCAAAGAAUGCCACAUACAUAUUUCCAUCUUUAGACAAAAUGUCAAACUAAGAAAUGUUUUUGUGCUAAGAAAAAUGUACUAUGCAAUUCAAGAUGUCAUUCAAGGUCAGACUGCUGUAAUAAAUAGAAGACUAAAAUCAUGCAGUGUUCAUCAAUAUAAUUUUAUUCAGUUUAGGCUUUAGAUACCUGUUUGUUAAUAAAAAUUUUAUCAUCUCUUUUUUCUCUAUUAUAUUUUUAAUUAGUUUGUGUUCCACAGGUUUCACUUUGUUAAUAAAGUAUCUCCCCUGUUAUCUAUUAUAUUAUAUUUUGCUAAAAAAUGCUAGACAUUCAUUCUAUGGAAUACUUAGG